ensembl:lncRNA
CUUGCCUUCCAGCCCUGCCAUGAGCAGCUCAUGCCCUUGUAGGUGAAGAUGGGACACUUCUGCAAUUCAAACUGAGCUUAUUGUCAGCCCAAGUAACUGCUCGAUCUUAUGAAUGCCAGCAUUACCUUCCGCUUCCUCCUGUCCAUGUCUGUCACACUAUCCAAAUGUAGGCAGCGAGGUCUGAGCACAGACUUCUCACGGCUGUGGCAGUGGCCCCAAGGCUCUGUGAGUCAGCACUACCACACACCGACUACCAAGACCCAACAUUUGGGUGUCACUCUGUUACUCUGGGUAUUGGUCCAUUGGUUUUAUGAUUACAUCUCUUCAGUUAUCAGAAAGCUGUUGUCCAGAGCAGCAUAAGCACAAGGGAAGGAAAACACAUACACUCUGCACUGGCUCUAGAGUAACAGCUCCUCCAUCAGCCUCAGUGUUGCAUCAGCUGGCUCUUACUUAUCUCCAUGACCUCCUGCUACUUGCCACUCUCUGUCACGAUUUUGGAACAGCAGAUGCAGAGAUUGGGUUCUGUGAUCCUAACAGGCUUCGAGCCUUUUAACCUCAAGCACUGUUUGUUUUGCUUGGCACGUCCUCUAUGACUGAACAAGAAUGGGACUGGCUCUCCAGAGAAGCCUCGUGGUUAGCUGCUUCCGACCAGAGCCUGGAAGUGACAGUGAUCCUGCCUCACCCCACAGACCUCUGACAGUCCUGCCUGGAGAAGCUGCACAGCUGCCUGACUACAGCCCAGCUCUUUCUCCCACGUACAGCCUGCAGGAACACCACAAGGAAUGACCCAACACUGAAUUACCCUGACCCCCACAGCUUAAGGUUGAAGACCUACUGCAGGACAGGCAUAUGAAAGCCAUAUAUGAUAUCUUAAGUCAUGCUGAAGAGACAUCCUCCUGAGUCACUGACCACCUUCUGGUCUGCAUGGAGAUCACUGCACAGCUGGCAUCAGUUUUUGCACUGCCAGGGAGGGCCCAGCAGCAUCUGGGCAGUGGGGAUGUUGCCUAUUCUGGCAUUCAAUUCAGCAAGGCCCAGGCUGUGCAUGCUGGGCAGCCCCUCAUGCUGAUGCCAACCUGGCUGCACCGUGCCAAGGCUGCCCCCUCAGCGUGCAUGUGGGAAAAACACAGCACACCCACACUCAGAGUCCCAGGCUCCAGUCCCAGCUGAGUCAAUUCGGCCCCAUGUUUUUGCAGAGAAGAUAUGUGGAAUCUGAUUGGGCUUAUCACGUGUGUACAGGGCAGGGAGUGGCUCUUUGACUUCAAAGAACAGAUAAGGCCAUCAAAGUAAUUGCCAUCUUUAAACACUGUCUACUUACUCACCAGAUCACCACUGAAUUCAGACUCCAAGCCUCUCACUCCAGUAACCAAGUGGAUGCAAUUACUGCUUGCUGCUCCUGUUUUAGCUUGCAGAGUCAGCGCCGCCCUGGGGAGAAGAGAGUCAUCAGGAAUGACUUUCUGCUUAAGGAUCAGCAGCUCCCUGGCUAGAAACUUUGCCUGAGAUACAACAUGAUAUAAUGCCCACUGCCUGGGUAUCAUGAGCCCCCCAUGGGGCUGCAAGCAUCGGGCUGCCUGCGCUGGGAGCAGGGACUGCCUCCCCUUCUGCUCCCUGCAUCGCACUCCUAUGUUUGGGAAGUAAACGUGCUGUGUUAGGUCAUGGAGUGGGCCUGAACUGAGAAAACAAUGACUUGGAAAAAGGGAAGUCCUGUUUAGCCCCAGGGGCCUGUUCCUACAGAGCAAGUACAAGAGAGCACAGCAAGCAGGAGAGAUGACGGGUUCCCCACCCUGAGAACUGGAGAUGGGAGUCACCAUCUUGGAGGAGCUGGGAUGCCAGAGGAGAGGCAGAGGUGGAUGAAAACAAAGUGAACUUUGUGGCUGACUCAGGGCAAGAGACAGCCUUCUGUCAAGGGCUCUGCUUCACCCAGAACCACCUUGCUAGGACUCAGAUGGAAAGAAUUUCACUUGCGGGCAGCAGAGCAAGGCAGAUACGCUAUCUCAGCACCCCACCCCAUCCCUCACUGGGCUUGUCUCAGGUUUUGAUAUGCAGUGUGCAAAUCUGGAAUGCACACAUAAAUAAAUGUCAAAUUCUCAGAUGUAUUGUCAGCCUUAAAGAAAAUAAGCAGACUUAAUUAAAAAUCCCACUGUUGCUUUUACUCAUGACCUGAGUCACAUCUACAGCCUUACUGCUAUUUGAAUGUGUAACACACGCAUAGAAAUGCAACCAGUACUUAUCAACUCUGAGAAGCCAGGAAGAUGACUAUGCCAGUAUUUGAGAAAAUCACCCAGAAGCUGCAGCAACAAGAGGUUCAACACCUCUGCAGAUUCCCUGUGCGAUAUACUUUAAGUGAUACAUAGAUUGCAAUUUCUUAAAACUACAAAAUGCCACAAAAUCUUUUCCCAUGUUUCUCAUCCAAUACAUUGUGCUGUAUUUCAAAUAAUUUUCUUCAGCAGGUGACAGCACAGACCCAUACAGAUCCAGAUGUCCAAUCAUAAAAACCGACUCAUAGAAGGCUGACACAUAAAACCCCUGAAAACAAAUUCCAUUUGUCCAAGUUGACAUUCCUGAUGCCUAUUUGGUUUCCGUGCGCUGCAGCUCCCCUAUUUCUGACCCCCGAAAUGCAGCACUCCUGCCUGGUGCUCAGUGGUGGGAAUGUCAGCUCUGAGCACUAACAUGCAGGAUGCCCU